rnacentral:misc_RNA from 1 species
GUAAGGAACAAGUGGCGCGAUCCAGUGAUUAUCUCGACGGCCAGUUGAGCUUUCGCGAGCGCCUGAUGGUGCGCCAUCACCUGCUGUUCUGCCCCAAUUGCCGGCGUUUCAUUCGGCAGAUGCGCCUGCUCCAGGCCACCUUGCGGGUGCUGCCGGAGCCACCCCUGGAGGGCUUGGAUGCCUUGGCCGAGCGUCUGGCGACGCAACGCAGCAAGGACGUCUGAGAGGACAAAACACAGGCCGACGCGGC